GGACGCGUAACUCAGCUUGGACAGAGUGUCUGCCUCCUAAGCAGGAUGUCGAGGGUUCAAAUCCCUUCGCGUCCGCCA
rnacentral:tRNA from 1 species